rnacentral:rRNA from 1 species
GACGAACGCUGGCGGCGUGCCUAACACAUGCAAGUCGAGCGAAUGAAAUUCCUUCGGGAAUGGAUUUAGCGGCGGACGGGUGAGUAACACGUGGGCAACCUGCCUCAUAGAGGGGAAUAGCCUUCCGAAAGGGAGAUUAAUACCGCAUAAGAUUGUAGUACCGCAUGGUACAGCAAUUAAAGGAGCAAUCCGCUAUGAGAUGGGCCCGCGGCGCAUUAGCUAGUUGGUGAGGUAACGGCUCACCAAGGCGACGAUGCGUAGCCGACCUGAGAGGGUGAUCGGCCACAUUGGGACUGAGACACGGCCCAGACUCCUACGGGAGGCAGCAGUGGGGAAUAUUGCACAAUGGGGGAAACCCUGAUGCAGCAACGCCGCGUGAGUGAUGACGGCCUUCGGGUUGUAAACUGCUUUUAUGUGUGAAGAAUCUGACGGUAACACAUGAAUAAGGGUCGGCUAACUACGUGCCAGCCGCCGCCGUAA